ensembl:snRNA U6 U6 spliceosomal RNA
GUGAUCGCUUCAGCAGCACAUAUGCUAAAACUGGAAUGAUACAGAGAUUAGCAUGGCCCCUGCGCAAGGACGACAUGCAAAUUUGUGAAACGUUCCAUUUUUUU